rnacentral:tRNA from 2 species
AUUAUUUUGGCAGAAUAGUGCGAUAGAUUUAGGAUCUUUUUAUAUAAUUUUUAUUAUAAAUAAUA